rnacentral:rRNA from 1 species
GGCUUCGGCAAUGGGGGAAACCCUGGCCGAGCGACGCCGCGUGGGUGAUGAAGUUUUUCGGAACGUAAAGCCCUGUCAGGUGGGAUGAAAUACCAUUCUGUUAACACCCGAGUGGCUUGACAGUACCACCAGAGGAAGCUCCGGCUAACUCCGUGCCAGCAGCCGCGGUAACACGGGGGGAGCAAGCGUUGUUCGGAUUCAUUGGGCGUAAAGAGCUCGUAGGUGGCUCUGUAAGUCGGAGGUGAAAGCCCACGGCUCAACCGUGGAUACGCCUUCGAAACUGUGGAGCUUGAGGCCGGGAGAGGAGAUCGGAAUUCCUGGUGUAGCGGUGAAAUGCGUAGAUAUCAGGAGGAACACCGGUGGCGAAGGCGGAUCUCUGGACCGGUUCUGACACUGAGGAGCGAAAGCCAGGGGAGCAAAC